AUUGAACGCUGGCGGCAGGCCUAACACAUGCAAGUCGAGCGAGCGGCGGACGGGUUAGUAAAGUAUGGGCCUCUGCCCGAUAGAGGGGGACAACUACUGGAAACUGUGGCUAAUUCCGCAUACUAUCGUAUUAACCCUAAUGUGAUGAGCUAGUAGGUGGGGUAAAGGCUCACAAAGGCGACGAUCUCUAGCUGGUCUGCGAGGAUGCUCAGCCACACGGGGACUGAGACACGGCCCAGAGUCAUACGGGAGGCAGCAGUGGGGAAUAUUGCACAAUGGGCGCAAGCCUGAUGCAGCCAUGCCGAGUGUAUGAAGAAGGCCUUAGGGUUGUAAAGUACUGUCAGCGGGGAGGCGUUACCCGCAGAAGAAGCACCGGCUAACUCCGUGCCAGCAGCGGCGGUAAUUC
rnacentral:rRNA from 1 species